GAAGGUACUUAUUAUGUGAAAAGGGGGUACACUGACAUGAUUUGACAAAAAUGCAAUAAGGGGUACACCGGACAAAUUGGAUGCUCCAAAGGGCCGGAUUUGGCCCCCAUGCCAUGAGUUUGACACAUGUGCUUUAGGAUGUCAAAAUGAUUCAAUAGUAAAACUUUAUGAGGGCUUCUUGUUUGUUGCUGCUCAAGCCACCAAAUGCAGGAAAUGACAGAAACAGCUUCAAACGAGCUAGCGUUGGUUAAGCGAAGCGUUUAGCGAGGUGUCUAAUUAGGCAGCCUCGAGCCCUCGGCGACUCCCGCGGCACACAAAGUGCACGAGUGGAGGAAACACUUUAAAUUAAAGGAGCACGCAUUGCCCAAAGACAGUAAUGCUGAAUGUAUUAAUAAGUUGUUUCCUUUGAAUAACAAAUCCUUUGUCAGACACAUGGAAACUCCUUUAAAAGUCAACUUAUUUUCCUUCAACUUUUAGUCAUCGAACACAUGAUAAAUACUUACAGUAAUAAACUCACCUUGUCUGUAACUAAUCAGAAUUGGACGAGAAAGGGUCAGCUCGUGACAUUUUCUCCCAACUCUUAUCAAGUACAAAACUUAGUCACAUUGUACGUUAUUGAGCCCUUAUUUUAGGUAAACAUUGGGUAAACUUGAUCAGGCAGAAAUCUCAUUGUUGUAUUUUUAAAUUAGAUUGACAUUAUGACUUCACAUCUGAUAUUCAGAUUCUUAUUGACACAUAAUAUUGACAUACAGAGAUACAUUUAACUAAACUUUGUUGCAUAUGGCCAUCAUCAUCCUCAGGAGUCCAUUUAAAAGCAAAGGCACAAUUACCACAGUGUACACAGAUAAAAACACCAAUGUUGCACCAACGUUGACACAAAUGCAGAUUUGUCAACAGAAUUUCUUAAUCGACAAAUACAUUUGUGUACAUUAACUUUCUCAUUAGAGCCUGAAAACUCUUGCAUAAGAAAAUAGAGCACUUGCACUGGUCCAUCGAGGCUUCAUUAACUGUAUCCUCAUUCGUUAUUGGCAACUUGCGAGACACUGGGAGGAAGUCGCCAGAUGCCUUAAAGAAACUUUAUUUUUAUUUCAAUUUAAGCCCAUUUUUGCUUAUUUUUACCCUUUCUUUGCAACUACACCAAACUGGCCAUAUUUUAUCCUAUUUUCAACGCUUUCUUAUGAUAUUUUUGCUCUUUUUGAUGCAUUUUUGCUACAUUUUACUCCCAUUUCUGUAAUGUUUCCAUCAAAUUUCAAAGCCUUUUUUCCACUUUCAAGACAUUUCCACCACUUUUCCCACCUAAUGUUGCAUAUGUUGACCCUUUUUUUCACCAUCAUUUUUGCCAUUUUAAUAUUAACACUCGGAACCCUUUUUUACCAAUUUUUCUCUCAGUUUUUGGUCAUUCUAAAUUGCAACUUUAAGACAAUUUCUGUGUUCUUUAAAACACCAUUUCACCACAUUUUCCAUUUUUUGUCACUUUUAACCCAUUUUAUUUCUAAUUAAAACAAGGAUUUACAUCUACCACUUUUCCUGCCUACGGUAUCGUCACAAAUGUUGACCCAUUUUUGUCACUUUUAAGCUUUUUUCACCAUAAUUCAUGCUUAUUUUUGCCAAUUUGACCAGAUUCACGCUUUAUCAUGCCCAUUAUUUGGCAGUUUAAACUACUUGUUCCUACUUUUUCGUCAACGUUCAUGUCUGUGUUCAACCACCUUCAGCUACGGUGGUCAUCCCUGGUCUCUGCCAACAUUAAUUUGGGGGUCUCGGGCAGAAAAGGUGGAGAACCACUGCCCUAAAUAACAGCACCUGCUUAAUGGGAUAAAUGCUCCACAAUAAAAGAAGCCUCAGGGGCCA
ensembl:lncRNA